rnacentral:rRNA from 1 species
UACGGAGGGUGCAAGCGUUGCUCGGAAUCACUGGGCGUAAAGCGGGCGAAGACGGUCUGCCAAGUCGUGUGUGAAAGCCCGGGGCUCAACCCCGGAACGGCACCCGAUACUGUCGGACUUGAGUACGAGAGAGGGAAGUGGAAUUCCUGGUGUAGAGGUGAAAUUCGUAGAUAUCAGGAGGAACAUCAGCGGCGAAAGCGGCUUCCUGGCUCGAUACUGACGUUCAUGCCCGAAAGCGUGGGGAGCAAACAGG